rnacentral:rRNA from 1 species
GUCUUUUUGAAAAUAAUUUAAAGUCAAAUCUGCCCACUGAUUAAUAAUUAAAGGGCUGCAGUAUAUUGACUGUACAAAGGUAGCAUAAUAAUUAGUCUUUUAAUUGAAGACUUGUAUGAAAGAUUUAAUGAAAUAUAGACUGUCUCUUUUUUAAAUUUAGAAUUUAAUUUUUUAGUAAAAAAGCUAAAAUUAAUUUAAAAGACGAGAAGACCCUAUAGAGUUUUAUAUUUAAAUUUAAUUAUAUAUUUAUAUUUAAUUUAAAAAUUAAUUAGUUUAAUUAUUUUAUUGGGGUGAUAGAAAAAUUAAAAUAACUUUUUUUUUAAAUUUAAACAUUAAUUAAUGAUUAUAUGAUCCAUAAAUUGUGAUUAUAAGAAAAAAUUACCUUAGGGAUAACAGCGUAAUUUUUUUUUUUAGUUCUUAUAAGAAAAAAAGUUUGCGACCUCGAUGUUGGAUUAAGAUAAAAUUUAAAUGCAGAAGUUUGAAAUUUUUGAUCUGUUCGAUCAUUAAAAUCUUACA